UGGUAGAUGCACCCUAAACAUUAACAUCCCCAGCUACUCUAGGCUGGGGUUUUUUGUU
rnacentral:sRNA from 1 species